CCGUUUUUAUUUUUAUUUAUUUAUUUUUUUUUUGUUUUCAUCACAUUUUCACUGUUAACUCCUGUAUGGGUUAAACAGUUAAAACUAAAGUUAUAUUUGUAACAAAGGGAUAGUGACACCUGGCAACAUUGUCAUCAAACGAUUAUGUUGAUGUAUAUAUAUGUGUAUGUAUAUAUUUAUUUUUGCCUACUUAUUUAUUAACAUCCGUAGUGUUAUACUAUAUCUUUUUUUAUAAAUCAAAAAUUAAAUAUAUCCGACAUGUAUAUAUUUAUAUAUAUAUAUGCAUGUAUAUAUGAGAACGUUUGUACAUAAUAGCCUAUAUUUUACAAACACCCCAUAAAAACCAUUUUUCUGUAUCAAACACAUGUUUUUAACCCUUAAUUAUUAAUUAUACUAUUUUUUUUUUUUUUUUUAACAUAAUUUUAGUGAUUACUUAUUUUUUUUUCUUUUAAUUUGCUUUUGUUUUUGCAACUUAAUACACAUAAAAUAGUACUAAAAAUAGAAAAACAAAAGCAAAUUAAAAGAAAAAAAAAAAAAGGCUUUCAGUGUGAUCCAAUUUUAUAUAUUAUUUAUUUCGCAUACGUAAAAACAAAAACAAAAUGUUGUUUAACAAACUGUUUAAAAAAAAAAUCGAGCUAGAAGUUGACCUUUACAUAUUACAAAACGAUGAGUCCAUAGCACUGUUACUAGAUUCUAAAUUAGUAGUUGUAAAAAAUGAUAUAAUUGUUUCUGACAAAUCGAAAAGAUUUACAUUUAAUGAAGAUAAUAUUUUUAGUUUCAAAUAUCAUGAAAUUGAUAUGUGUCAAUUUAAAUAUGUUCAGUCUAAUGGCAUAAUAGAAGAGUAUGGGUUGGUGUUUACAAAAUUAUGUGAUAUGUAUUAUUUUUAUAAAUAUAUUAUGUUUAGUUAUUUAAAAGGAAAUAUAAUAAUAUAUAAAAAUAUCGAUAUAUAUAGAUAUCAUGCACCCUAUAAAAUUUUAUUUAAAAAAAAUUAUUAUGGUGUUUUAUUAUUUAAUACUGCUAAAGGUGAGCAUAUAUUGGUUAUUGUCAAAUCAAACAGAAAAACGAAAAAAUGUAGACAUGUGGUUAGUAACACUCAAACGGGUAUCACAUCGGUGAAGCUAUCUGGUGAUAAAACAGCGGGUGGUAAAACGGAGGGUAGUAAAACGACAGGUGAUAAAACAUCGGAUGGUAAAACAGUAGGUUUUAAAACAGCAAGCUCUAAAACAACAGGCUCUAAAACAACAGGCUCUAAAACAACAGGCUCUAAAACAGUGGAAUCUAAGAAAGCUUAUAGAAAAGAAGCAGAUAAAUCCGUGUCAGAUACUGAAAAUGAUAUAAUAGACCAUGAAUGUGAAAAAUAUUAUGAAGAAUUCAACAUAGACAAUUUAAGAGAGUUGUAUAAAAGGAAUAAAAUAUUUUUAAUAUAUAUCUUAAAUUCGUUUAAUGAUAUUUAUUUAAGUGUUGAAUCUGUAGGGAUACACAUAAACAAUUAUCUCAUAAGUAAUAAAAUUUUUCGAUUUAUACCUUAUAAAGUUUUAUAUCAAGAUGAAGAAAAUCAUGAGAGUUAUUUUGUUAAUACCUGUUUAAGUGACGAGGAUGUUAUGAAUGGAUUAGAAUAUGAAGAACAAAAUUUGAAAGAUGGAACAACUACCGAAGAGGAAAGGGACCGAUUAAAGAGUAAUAAUACCAAAGAUGAUAAAACUGGUAAAAUAAAACAUGAUAGGGAAAAAAAUAAGUCCAUUAAAUCAAGUGAACUGAAAGAACCUAAUGAGCCGAACACCUUGAAUGGUAAAAUUAUUAAGAGUAAAACAGACGGGAAAAAAAAUAACAAUAUUAUAGUUAAUGAAAAAGCUAAAUCUGAAUAUAAAAAAAACAGUAAUAAUAAAGAGGACAGUAAAAAUGAAAGUAAUAGUAGUGGUAGUAUUAGUAGUAGUAGUAGCAGUAGUAGUAAUCAUAAGGUACCAAUUAAAAUUGAAAAAAGUGAAGCAUGUUUAAAUAUAGAUGAGAUGAAAGAAAAGUUUUUACUUGUUUUCGAAUCAGAUAGUAUAUUAAUUGAUUAUAUUAAAAAUAUUUUAAUAUAUAGACAUGAUUUCCAAAAUGAUAUAAUAAAUAUUAAAAAAGAUUAUGUGGAUACACAAAAAUUGGCUAACAGUAAAAGUAUAAACGAUUUUAAAGAUGUGAAGGAUGAAAAAAGGGAAGAUGAUAUAGAUGACAAUACGAAAUAUAUGUUAGAAUCUGAUUCGGAUAUAAUAUCAGAUAAUUCCGAAAGUGAAAAUGAUGAAAAUAAUCACAAAAACAGUAGAAGGUUAC
rnacentral:lncRNA from 1 species